UACGUAGGAGGCGAGCGUUGUCCGGAAUUACUGGGCGUAAAGAGCGCGUAGGCGGCGCGGUACGACCGCUGUGAAAGCCCCCAGCUCAACUGGAGAGGGUCAGCGGUAACGGCCGUGCUUUGAGUGCAGGAGAGGGAAGUGGAACUCUGGGAGUAGCGGUGAAAUGCGUAGAGACCCGGAGGAACACCAGUGGCGAAGGCGGCUUCCUGGUCUGCGACUGACGCUGUGGCGCGAAAGCUAGGGGAGCAAACGGG
rnacentral:rRNA from 1 species